rnacentral:rRNA from 1 species
AGUGAACGCUGGCGGUAGGCCUAACACAUGCAAGUCGAACGGCAGCACAGUAAGAGCUUGCUCUUACGGGUGGCGAGUGGCGGACGGGUGAGGAAUACAUCGGAAUCUACUUUUUCGUGGGGGAUAACGUAGGGAAACUUACGCUAAUACCGCAUACGACCUACGGGUGAAAGCAGGGGAUCUUCGGACCUUGCGCGAUUGAAUGAGCCGAUGUCGGAUUAGCUAGUUGGCGGGGUAAAGGCCCACCAAGGCGACGAUCCGUAGCUGGUCUGAGAGGAUGGUACGCCCACACUGAACGUGAACACCGUCCCAGAUACUAAGGGACGGCGCAGUUGGGAAUAUUGGACAAUGGGCGCAAGCCUGAUCCAGCCAUACCGCGUGGGUGAAGAAGGCCUUCGGGUUGUAAAGCCCUUUUGUUGGGAAAGAAAAGCAGCAGGUUAAUACCCCGCUGUUCUGACGGUACCCAAAGAAUAAGCACCGGCUAACUUCGUG